rnacentral:rRNA from 1 species
GGAGCAUGUGGUUUAAUUCGAUGCAACGCGAAGAACCUUACCAAGGCUUGACAUGUUCCGGACCGCCGUGGAAACACGGUUUCCCCUUUUGGGGCCGGUUCACAGGUGGUGCAUGGUUGUCGUCAGCUCGUGUCGUGAGAUGUUGGGUUAAGUCCCGCAACGAGCGCAACCCUCGUUCUAUGUUGCCAGCACGUGAUGGUGGGGACUCAUAGGAGACUGCCGGGGUCAACUCGGAGGAAGGUGGGGACGACGUCAAAUCAUCAUGCCCCUUAUGUCUUGGGCUUCACGCAUGCUACAAUGGCCGGUACAAUGGGUUGCGAUACUGUGAGGUGGAGCUAAUCCCAAAAAGCCGGUCUCAGUUCGGAUUGGGGUCUGCAACUCGACCCCANGAAGUCGGAGUCGC